ensembl:lncRNA
GCCAAGCACAACAAGACCCUACAAACUUUGUUUAAAAGAAAAAACCACCAGGUUCUCUAAGCUCCUGGAUUUGGAAUUUUCAGCCAGAAGAGCAUUCAUUGAUUCAAAUACUAUUCACGAGGAGGACAGACACAAAAAGGUUCUAGAAGCAUAUCCUUGCUUCAAGGACAUUGGACAUGUGAUGGAAGAGCUUCAUCGCAUUUUGGAUAAAGAUAAUGGCAACUUCAUCAAUGAACUGAAGGAAAGAUGGCAUGAUUUCUGCCAGAAGGUGCAGGUUUUUGGUGUAUGGAAAUGCUGAAACCCCCAAUGGGAAUGGAUAAAGCUGAACAGGCUCUCGAGAUCCUACGUGUGCUGCCAUCAUUGUUCCCAUCCACCUCUGCCCCUCCAAAGAGGGUACGAGAUGCAAG